UGCAUGGUGUCACUUAAAAUAAUUCUUCAGAAAUAUUUAUGAACGAAUCAUGGGCAAAUCAGUUCCAUUUCAUGAGGUGAUAUAAUCAACACAUAGAAGUGUUUGCACCCAUAGGACAAAAUACCUUUGUUUCUGGUUAAAAUAAUCAAACCCAUCAGAAAUGAUUGUCUAUUCUAGGAUGAUCCACACCAUGGUAAGUGAAGUUAAAACAGUAUUCCCCAGGAGAAAAAUCAAAAAAUAAAUAAAUAAUGAAGGCAUGGUAUAUAGAAAGAAUCUGUCACACAUACAAAGAUAGACAAGUCUUCAGAGGACUUUUCUACACAUAUUCAUGAGUGAGAACACACAUCCAACCAAAAAUACGUUGAUUUCACUUCCACAAUCAGCAGUGUGGAGACUAAAGAUAGUACAAUUAAAAUUACAUUCUUAACCCAAAAGUCCAAAAACAAAGAAUAGAUAGUUUACAGAAAAGAGUUUGUAAAGCACAGAAUGACAGGUCUACAGAAGGUAUUCACAAGUGAGAAAACACAUCUAACCAAAAUUCUAGGGAUUUCACCAUCACAAACACCACUUUGGAGCCUGGAAAUGCUGCACAGCCUCCUGUGAGCAGGACACUCACCGGGUCCCUGAACAGUGUGAUGGCCCCAAACACAAACCUCAAAGUAAGUUCAGCCUCUCAGUGUGGCAGGAGCAGGUGCGGUGCCAGGGGAUGUGUCUCCAGCAGUUGGAGUCAGGUGGGCUCAGGGAGAUGACUGGAAAGCCUUUGAGGAAGGAAGAGGCCAUGAGGCCUUAGUCAUAGGCACAGGCUCCUCUUCUGUGUGAACAGGGCCAGGGUCCUCCAGGACACCUUCCAAAGCCUCCUCUUUCCUCCACAUGUAGGGCGCUGAAGCCCCACCAACCCUCCAGGGUUUGCUGCCACAUCAUCCCUGGAGCAGCCCCUAAGGUUCCCUGCUGUUCUCAUGGCUGUAGGGAUGCUCAGUCAUGUCACUGUAAGGGAACCCUAGUGUGUCCUGUCCUCACCUGCUGCCACUGAUGACCUUCAUAGCGAGUCUCCAUGCCUUUGCCAAGUGACCCCACUCUCACCAACCAUCAGGAGGCUGGAAAAUGGCCUGCACUCCAUGAUGUUCGGCUUAUGAGUAAGUCAGGGCUCAGGGCAGUCUCAUGUUUGUGCAGCUCAUAAUAAUAUCACACAGGAAUCCUAUUUUGACUUUCCCUGACUCCUCAUUCUCUCUGAGCAGUAACUCACUCUGCUCGUCCACUCUAAGACUUUCUUCUUGUGCAGCUGCUAAUGGUGUUUUCAUUUGGAGACUGAUAUGACUGUAUUGGUGGAAUACUAGAUGUGUGCUUGUCACAUCCUCACAUUUCUAAGAAUAAAAGACCCUUCUUUUGAGUGGCAUUUAUUCUUUUUUUCCUAGUUUGUCAGGAUUACAUUUCCAGUGAUUGAUGUGAAAACUUCUUUGCUAAAACACAUUCAUAAUGCUAUAAAUUAACUGCAUUUUUUUGAAUCUCAUAAAUUUGGAUAUGUGAUGUUUACUUUCAGAUCCAAGUACUUUUUAAUUUCCCUUUUUGUUGCUUCUUUGCCCCAAACUACAUAUAGUGGUACUUUACAUAUUUUCCAAAUAUUUAGAUUCUUUUUGGCAAAUUUUUAAAAAAUUAAAUUUAGAAUUUCAGUGGCUUUAUUGGUAAGAGUUGUUUUUGGUUACACUGAUGAAUUGUAUAGUAGUGAACUCUGGGCUUUAGCUACCCAUCACCCGAACAGUGUACCUUGUGCCCAAUAGGUAAUUUUUCAUUCCUCCUCCUUCUCCCACCAACCCCAUUCUGAUAACUUUCUGUUUCUGAUUUCUAAUACAAUCCCCUCAGUUAUGAAUAAUUUAUUUUUUUGAUUUAAUCAGCUUGGUUUUUUUGAAAUAUCUUGUUGCCCAAAAUAUAGUGUAUCAUUAGCCAAUGUUUUGAAAGACCAUGGAAUCUGCUGUGGUUUGGUGGAGUGUUCUCUAAGUAUCAGCCUUGUCCAGAUGGUUGAUAGCAUUGUUGAAGUCGUUUGCAUCCGCAGUGGCCCAAGAGGCUGGGCCGUUUGCACUUCAACCUGGAUCUGCUGCAGAGCCCUUUUCUAUCCUGAGUCCCACUCACGACUGGCUGACUUUCAUGUCACCUGCUGGGCCAAACCUGUAUUCCAAGGGGUAGAAUAUGUAGCCUCCAGAAACCAAAGAAGUCCUAUUUGUGGCUUCCUUCUUUGAAAGACAAAGACACAUAUUAACAACACUGGAAUAAAAUAAAUAUUCCUGUAAUCCUGAACUCUGAUUCACUCCGUCUUUAUGUUACACACAUUACAAAGGCCUUAUUAAUGGGGACACCAUUUAGUGGCAUUUGAUGGCAGCAGUAGAGACGAAUGCCCAGAUUCAAGGUGCAGGGCAAUACCAGCCAGGGGAAAUCAGCCUCUCAACCACAGCCACAAUAUGACUAGGCAGCCACAAAGAGUUCCCAAGUAAUUUUCUGAUCAUUGACCCGGUCGUGGUGCAGUAUCUGGACUUGCUCUCUAAUGAGGAAAAUUUAAUGUUGUGAUGUCCUUGAUUCUACUGCACCAACAUUCAUCUGGUCUGUUUGUCUGUCAGCCACUCACAAGGACACUCAAGUCAAAUUCUCUAAAUAUAUAAUUGUCUUCCUUCAAAUUCUAGAGAAAAGGUUGAUUUUAGAUUUGCCUAGCAAAUUAAAUAUUUUAAUGCUAUUAAUAGGAUCAUUUAAAUGGUAUCCUUCUCUUAGUCUCUCUGCAAAGGUUAACCUGGGGCAAAUUUCAUAAUAGGUUUUUCUUUAUUUUCAUUUUCCUCUAUAAUUUCUGAGUAAGAUGACCUACUCUGAGAAAACCUAUGAAGUUAGUUUUAACCCAAAACAAAAUCAUUAUUUUGAAAUUUAAUACCAUCACAAGCCAGAGACAAAAGAUAUUACUCUUGCUUUAUGGCUUAUUAGGACUAUUAAUGACUAGUAAGUAUUUGCUUUAAUCUUCCAUAAGUCAAUAGGUUUCUUCCUUUUAUUUUGCCUUAUACAAAUAAUUGUAUAAUAGUUUUCCUGUUAUAACAGAUUUGUGUACCUUCUUAUUUUCAGUAUUAAUUUUUGCCUAGGACUGCUAGGAUUCCAGAAUACAAAAGAAACCAUUUUCUAGGUUGAGGAUGUUUCUAAUUUACUAAGGUAAGACUAUUUACUAUGAGUAAGAUCCAGCUAAAUCAGUAGCUAGCAGGAAAUUAUGCCUCUAGUCCUCUGUUAAACAUGAUAGUUUUAUUCUUGACUGCUCCUGGGAAGUCAGAAUUUAUUUCAUUUUAUUACUGAUGCUUCAUUUUUUUUUUUUUUUGCUGGUAGAUAUUUUAGAAGAGUUAAUAUCUAGAAGUAUUCCAACAUAAGGGCAACUGGCUCUUCACAGAGCAUUUACACUUGGGUGAUCCUUAGCUCCUGCCCAAGAAUCACCAAGUUAUAAUGAAGUUCACUGCUGUGAUGUGAAGCUGCUGCUUCCAGAAGGGCAGAGUCACUAUUUCCAGUUGUCAAUGCAGAGGCUGUAUUAUUAUUAUUAAUUAUUAAUAGUAUUAUUAUAAGACAAGAAAUGAGCACUAAAUGCUUUAUUCAGCUCUUGUCUGUUUCCUUUUCUGUACUUUUGAUUUUUGCUAACAGGAGGUGAAAAGAAGCAGUUAAAGGAAAAAUUCAGCUGUCUUUAGAACUCAGUUUGAUUGAUUUGAACCAUAAUUUUUCUCUAGAGUCUUAAACAUUAUAAAUUAUAAUUUAUAUAAACAUUUGCUUGAUUCUUAAAAUUGUUUAACAUGAAAAAAACGAUGUGAGAACUCACAAAUUCUAUUUUCAUUUUUUCUACAGGUAAACUAUCUUAUCUAAGUUACAAGUAAAUAAGUUAUUGCACUUUGUUUUCUUGUUAUAUUCAUUGAAGUUCUUAUCUAAGUUACAAGAAAUAAGUUAUUCCACUUUAUUUUCUUGUUAUAUUCAUAGAAGUUCUUAUAUCAACUGCAGCUUCUACUACAGUUUAAAUGGCUAGAAUCCCCAAUUUAGUCUCUAAAAACUUCUUGGGAUCUUCAUUUCCCAUCUCUCAAGUAAACCAGGUUUUACUAUAAGGCCUCAAGGCUAACUUCACAUUCAAAGAGUAGAAAAAUUAUACUAACUUCUCAGGCAAGCUAUGGUUUUAUAGAGUUUUACUUUUGAGGACGGAGACCCCUUUCUUCAAGGAUGUGAAUUCGAGGGGAACUUAUGAGACACAGAAUGCUCAGGAAGAAAACAGACUCAUAACUUCACUUUGUGCAGUUGGUGGGUGUGGUGGAUUCUCCAGAGAUAUUAACAAGCACAGAGGAGAAGCCCACCACUUAAUCCCACAGCUGUGUGGAUAGUUUCAUAGGAUUUCUGAAAACCUUUUCCAAGAAAAAGUAGAGACCAGAAUUGAAACAUUUGGAAACAGGUUCAGAUGAGACAGAUCUAGAACAGGGUCCGAAGAUUCAGAAAAGUCUGAUAUGGAAACAAUGCUGUUUCUUUCAAUGUUUGGAGAGAGAGAUUCUCAGAAGCAGAAGACACACAUUCAAGGAGCCUACAUUCCCUGUGCUCUCUCCCUGUGUUCCAGAAUAUUUAUCCAUGAAUCUCUGUUCCAGCGAGGGACAAUUUCAGUUAGUGAGACAACGCAGACGGCUUCAUUCCCAGGUGCCUGGGAGCCAGGAAUCCAUUCACAGGACCUGUAGCUUCACAGAUGGAAGCUCCAUUUAAAUGUGACUGUCCUUGUGAAACUAUUUAUUGUUGGCACCAUUAUUCAGGAGCUGUUCAAUGGAAUGUUAAGCACAUCGAUGACAAAUAAAGAACAGUGUGGUUGUUU